rnacentral:rRNA from 1 species
GACGUAGGGCGCGAGCGUUUGUCCGGAUUUAUUGGGCGUAAAGAGCUCGUAGGCGGCUUGUUGCGUCGACCGUGAAAACCCGGGGCUCAACUUCGGGCCUGCAGUCGAUACGGGCAGACUAGAGUGUGGUAGGGGAGACGUGGAAUUCCUGGUGUAGCGGUGAAAUGCGCAGAUAUCAGGAGGAACACCGGUGGCGAAGGCGGGUCUCUGGGCCGUAACUGACGCUGAGGAGCGAAAGCGUGGGGAGCGAACAGG